GAAUGAGUGAAUGGGCUGUAGGAAGCUCUGAGGAUGAAGCUUGUGAAGCCACAGGCUGUGGAGUUUGGGGCUUCCUGGGGGUAGAAUUUAGGAGGUCCACAGUGGCUUCUAUCAGCUGUGCUGAGGAGAGAAGAGCCAGGCAAAUUGCCCGCUGCCAGCCUUCUCGGGGAGGAAAGGUAGGCAGCAGCAUCGGUGGGGAUUGCGCUAACUCAAGGUGCCAGCUCCAUGCUGCUCUGGGGCUGGCCAGCGCUCUGGAUGUCAUUAGCUGAUUUGUUCUGCUCUGCAGAAUGUACUUUUCAUAUUUAGGCAGAAAAAAACAGCUUUCGAUCCUUGUGCCCUUUCUUCUGUGAGCUGUAGCACAUGGCCUGCUAAUUAUGAAUUAAUCCUCUAAAGAGCAUGUUCAUUAUUCUAAUUUAAUUGUGCUUCGUUUCAGAAAAUAACUAAACCCAGCGUGGAAUAAACUCCAAUGCUGAUCAGUUUUCAAGAAGUUAACAUAAGACAAAAUUCUGCUAGAGGGCAGCAGCAAUUUGGAAUCAUUAAAGGGAACCCAUGUAAAUAAUAAAAACAAAACUAAAAUGCAGAAUUAAAUUAAGGAAUAGGAAAUUAAAUUUGGGAAUCUAAUCUAAAAUUGAGGCCUUAUAUGCACAGGCUUACCCUGGCUUGGCUCUUCGCUCAGGAGUGCUCAGGAGAGGAGGUUCUGCAGAGUUUCCCACGACCAGGGAAGCGGCAGUCCCUCCUGGGUGGCAGUUUGCUGUUCUGGGAAGAGAGAUGUGGGCUGAAGUGGGAGAAAGGGGGCUUUCCUCCCACGGGGUCAACUGUGAUGAAGAUGAAAGCCACAUUGUCACAGAUGCAUCUGGAUAGCUCAUCCUGAGCCCUGGUGACCGGUUCAGGAGAACUGCCUGCAGCCAAGAGUCCAAGCUGCCACUCACUAGGAGGAAGCACAGGAAAUGAGGCAGAUGGUGCUGGGUGGCUGCUGGCCUGAGAUGCUGGGAGUGGUCAGCCCUGGGCAAAGAAGCCGCGCCAGCCCUCCUUCACCUUUGGGCCCUGGGCACCCUUCCACAGGUGACCCAGCUCAGGACAGAGGCUGAGGGAGUUUCCUCCUGCCCGGGCAGUGGCCCCUAAGCAGGGUCCUGGCCUCCCCACCAUCACCGUGAGAGCCCAGUUACAGAUGGAGGAGACCCGGACUCCAGCAGCAUCAUGACAGGUGGUGAAACUGAGGACAGAGGGUGAUAAGGGCUUGCUCAAGGUCAUACAGCAAGGUGGUGCAAGAGUCAGAACCAACACACAGAUCUUCAGACUCCCAGUUCAAGGUAUCAAGAGAUGCCCAUGGGAGCAGGGUGUGAUUCAUGAGCUCUUCGUGCACAGCUGUCCCAUUCCUGAGAAGGGUCUGACAGAUUCUGAGCACGGCACUCAAGCCAAAAGGAAUCCCUCUCGAUUUAGAAAUCUUCAGCCACUCCCUGGAAAAUGAGGAAUAGAGCCUAGAAUGAGGUAUCACUUAAAACUUUGGAACAGGGCCUCAAGGAGCUCCCAUGUGGUAGGGAACACAGAUGUGGAGCUCUUUCAAUGCAGCAUGGAGAGUUGUGCACCAGAGUCAGCCACAUGUCCCUCACGUCAAGCCUCAUUUCUGGCUACUUCUCCUCACUCUACUCCAGCCACAUGGGCCCCAAAGCAUCGAGCAACUUCCAGCCUUUAGGACCAUCAUACCAGCUCUUCCCUCAGCCCAGAAUGCUCUCCUACCCCUUUCCCCAGUCCUAUAUCCAACUAAAUCCUUCAAGUCUCAGCUCAACUAUUACUGCCUUACGGAAACCUAAUUUGACUCCCCAUUAAUGUUUCUCUUGGCACUUUUUACUUUGGCAGCACUGAUGACUUAUACCUUUUAAAGAAUAUAUUUAUUUGUAUUAUUGUUUAAUGCCAGAGCCCCUGAGGGCAAGGUUGAAUAUGUUUUGCUCAUGACUGUAUCCCUUGUGAUGAUAUCAAAAACUUGUAUCAGUUAGAAAGAAAGAAAGAGAGAGAGAGAAAGAGAGAAAGAAAAAAUAAUGAAGUUCCAGUUAUCUACCACUGCACAACAAACCAUCUCAACAUUUUACAACUUGAAACAGUAACCAUUGUAUUUUAUCCCCCAACUUUGUGGGCUGGUAAUUUGUGAAGGGAUCAGCUAGGCAAUUCAUGUCUUCUAUGGUCUCCAUGAAGGUCAUUCGAUGGCAUCAGAUGGUAAAUGGUCUAGUUUGGAGGGUCGAAGCUGGCUUUGCUUACAUUUCUGGUGCCUUGAUGGCUGGGGGGCCAGACUCAUUUAGAACUACUGAUGUGAAUGGCUUCUCCAGUAUGUUGCUAUAAAUAGGUUAGUCAAACUUUCUACGAGGUGGCUCAGAGGGAGGAUCCCAAGAGACCCGGGUGGAAGCUUCAAAGUCAUGUAUGACCUACCUUGAAAGUUCCAGACAUUGACUUCCACUGCGUGCUACUGGCCAAGCGAGUCAGUAAGGCGAUCCCGGAUCAAGGGAGGGAAUUAGAACCCAACUCCCAUGUGUAGAAUGUCGAAGAUGUUGCAGGCAUCAUCUCUAAGCCACCACAAUGGGGCGGGGGACAGGGGAAUGACAUUUAUCCUUUCACAGUGGUCAUCCUGACUAUAGUGCCCAGAAAGAAAGAAAAAGGAUGGAAUAUGCCUAGGGAGAUCAAUUCAGAACAUAAUAGAAAUAAAAAUACAAAAAAAGAGGGUUUAAAUGGUAUCUACUGGAAGAGAAAAGGAGGCAUGAAUUUGAGAGAUAUUUUAGGAAGCAGUAGAAAGGAACAGUAAGAGCAUGGACUAUGGAGCCACAUCAUCUAGCUUUGAAUCCUUGUUCUGCCACAUACCAAUGGUGAGAGCUCUGGAAAACUAGUUGUUUUCUCUGGUCCUCAGUUUCCUCAUCUGUAAAAUAGGUAUAAUAAUUGUACUUAUUUCACAGGGUUGUUGAACAGAUUAUAUGAAUUAAUACAUGGGGGAAAAGAGCCUAAAACAGUUUCUAGGUAUACUAAGGGUACAAUAAAUAUUAGCUCUUAAAGGAAAAUAAAUAAAUAAAACUUACUAGGAGUCAAGUUUCGUCAGAAAGCCAAGGCAUGGCUAGGGGAAAUAGGAAAGGUUCCCUCUAUCUAUGUGUUCUGUUUGUCAGUGAUGUUGAGGAGGCAUUUUAAGCUUCCAACUUUGCAGCUGUAAUGUACUUUGGAGUGUUGCAUACUCCCACACCACCUAGAUAUGGUUACUUGCUAGGUUUACUGAAUUCAAUACUAGUGAAAAAACGGGA
rnacentral:lncRNA from 1 species